AAAAGAAAAAAAAAAAAAAUUAGAAACCCUUAAGAGUCUUAACAAUUAAUGCAGACUAUCACCUACAUCAUGAGAAAGCUUAUGGAGGUAUGCUUCUGUUAGGAACUCCUAUGAUGUGACAGUGGCCCUUCAACAGGCAGCUAGUCAUAUUACUUCAAAUUGUCCAAUUCAGGAUCAAAUUAAUAUUUCAGGAUUAAUUGACCAAAUUCUUCCUUUGUCUGUUUUAAGCCAGCAAGAAUGGCAUGAAUGUGAUCUUUUAGGAGCAUCAACACCUAGAUAUUUGAUCACAGCACUUAUCUGACUAAAGCAAGGGAAACUGAAUGUGGUUUUUUCUUCAGUUAUGUAACCAACAUGUACCUUCAUGUUUACUCUGGUAAAGCUCUUGAUGGUGAAUUCAAGGCACUUGGAAGAGACAGAUUUUAAAAGUAUCAAUCGAUUAAGAAAGUGAAAUUUGAGCAUUUGGAGAUUAAAGCAUGAAUUGGAUCAACAACUGAUAUUGAUGUGUUAGCUACUUAAGGGUUCAUAAUAAAUCAGGUGGCUGAAUUGAAUUAAUCCUCACUGUGGCAAAAGCAGAAGAGAUGGACAUCUUGUUGUAAGCCGAACUAUUUGGAAAGUUUUGUUUGUGGAAUGCUACACAUUUAUGUAGCAAUAGAAAGAACUGUAUAUGGUUGAAACUUCAAUGGAAGUUGAGGUUCUAUAGCAUAGACUGGCGGCAUUCAUCAGGGGAUGACCUGUGGAAACAAUCUCUGCAAAAAGCAGGGGGAAUGCUGUGUACAAUAUAUGACCCCCCUCUAACCCACAAAUAGCAGAGCCUUGUGCACUAUGAAGACCCUAGCAAGUAGCAAUGGCAUAGACUGGCAUUCAUCAUUAUCUUCAUUAUAUCAUCUGUGCAUAGACUCCCCAAAAAAAUGAACCACAUUUUAAUGGAAAUUGAAAGUAUUAGAAUUUAGAAGAUUCUCAUUUCAUAGUAAUAGAGCAUUGCAAAUUAUUAAGCGUCUCAGCAUGAGCUAUUAUUUUCCUUUUCUACAUCUCCUUGCUUUUUCAAAUUGUGGUCAAAAUUUUAAUAGAAAAUAUGGUAUGCUUAAGCUUAAUUAUAUAAAGAUGAUAUUCUUAAGCUUAAUUUAUAUAGGUUUCAAAAGUCACAAACUAUGAUUUUUGAAACAUAAAUAUUAGUUCCUCGCAAAAAAAUCAUUUAUGCCUUGUUUGUUUUGAAGGAAUUGAAGUGAAAGUUUCAGUCAUUUCCUUUUUUGGGAUACUAAUGAGGAAGGGAAUAGAGGAGGAAGGAAAUGAAAUUUUAUUUUCCAAUUUCGUAAGAAAGCCAGAAAACAUUUUCCUCCAAUUUGGAGAGAAACCAAAAGAAAUGAAGAAAAGAACAUUUUCUUCAUUUUCUUGCUUGUAACUAAAGAAGGGCAAUUUGACUUACUUCAAUAUUCUAUGAAAAACCCAAACUAUAUGAGAGAAAAGCAAUCUCAUUUAUUUUCUUUUCCCUUCUUUUUUCUUAUUAAUUUUCUUUUCCAUUCCCUUGCACUUUUAGUUAUCAUAACAAAGCACUACUGUAUUAAAUUUCUCUCCAUG
rnacentral:misc_RNA from 1 species